CCUGAAGUACAUGGCAUCAUUCAACCCUCUUGGUGAGCUGCAGGAAUGUGCUUCCCAUUGCAGUGCACCAGCUCCAUGUACUGAUUUUGGUGUGAACUUGAUGGGGUUGGAGGAAACUCGACUUGGCCAUCAAGCUCACCACAAUAUAACAUGAAAAGUGAAAAUUGCUGCACACAACAGUCUGUCGUCUGCACCGGGAGGCAAGGCAGCUCAAAGCCCAGGCUGUUACAACUCCUGGGCAGUUUUUGCCCAAAGCCAGCAAUUUUUUAGAUCCAAUAGGGGUGGAUUUUUUCUGAGGUCAGGUUCAACAUGCUGCAAGAUGCCAAGAUCUAAGCCUAGUAGGAGAUAUGGGUUACAAGAGAGGAGGUUUGCUCUGGCCUUAUACUUUCAAAGUCCAAAUGCUAAUAGAUUUCUGAGCACAGUAUUUUACUUGUCUUCAGUUUCAACACUUCAAUCAUGACUCAGGGGUAUUUCAGUACAUGUUGGCUGGAGCAAACAGACUCUGACAGCCCUGCAGCAAAGAGCACAGGCUUUGUCAAAAGAAGAGAAACUUUGUGGGAUUUGCCAUUAUUUAGUAUUACUCUUGUUACGCCAAGAAUUUUUUUCCAUAUACUUUGCCAAAUAUUGCAAGUAAUGUACCAUUGUUGGGCUUGCUUGUUAUAAAUCAGAUCUUGUUCAAUUAACAAGCUUUGGGUGUCUGCCACUUUCCAGUUGUAAUGCAAGGAAUCAUUUAUCUUCCCUGCUAGAUAUCACACGUAAUGCACCAUUGUUGGUUUUGCCUGUUAUAAAUCAGAUCUUGUUCAGUUAAAAGCUUUAGGUGUCUGCCACUUUCCAAUUGUAAUGCAAGGAAUCCCCUGCCAGAUAUCGCAUGUAAUGCACCAUUGUUGGUUUUGCCUAUUAUAAAUCAGAUCUUGUUCAGCUCACAAGCUUUGAAUAUCUACCAUUGUUUAUUUUAGGUGUAAUGCUUGGAAGCAUUUGUUCUCUUACCUACCCAACAGUAUGCAAUAUUUUAUUGUGGAUUUUGCCUGUUAUAUUUAAUCUUGUUCAGGUAACAAGCUUUUGGUGUCUGUCUUACCUAAUAUGUCCUGCAGUGACACUUGGCUUGGUUUCAUAAUGUGAAAUACAGCAUGUAAUUUCAUCACACUAAGUGUCUAUCAUCACGUGUCUGGCAUCAUUAAUGUGGCUUCCAGGAGUAAUCUUGUUUGUAUUACAGCUUGCAAUUUUUUUUUCUGCUUUAUAUGAUAUACAUAAUCACAUAG